UACGGGGGGGGCAAGCGUUGUUCGGAAUUACUGGGCGUAAAGGGCUCGUAGGCGGCCAACUAAGUCGGACGUGAAAUCCCCGGGCUCAACCCGGGAACUGCGUCCGAUACUGGCAGGCUUGAAUCCGGGAGAGGGAUGCGGAAUUCCAGGUGUAGCGGUGAAAUGCGUAGAUAUCUGGAGGAACACCGGUGGCGAAGGCGGCAUCCUGGACCGGCAUUGACGCUGAGGCGCGAAAGCCAGGGGAGCAAACGGG
rnacentral:rRNA from 1 species